AGAACUGCCAGUAGGGGGUUAACCAAAGGCCUUUCCUGGCAGGAAAAGCUUAGGCUGUAGUCUAAUUUUGGACUUUAUUCAUAGGGAUUUUAAAAGGUGAAUGACACUUCUUAUAGGGUGGUAAAAAUUUCAAUGCGUAGCAAUUCGGAGCCCUGGUCUGCUUUGAAACUAAGUAUGAAAAGCACAACUACUAAGACCAGUGUAUAUUAUCCUGUUAAAAAUGGAAAACAAGAGAAAGAUCUAAUGCAGUGUCCAUGAGAAUAUCAAGCAAAGACCUACUGCUGCUGCCAAAUGCUUCACAUACAAAAGAAUCUUCCUUGGAAAGGGGCAGCUUUUAAUCGAGAUUUGCUGUCUCUGAAAAUCUAUCACUGGUUUUGCUUAAGAACCACUUUCUAAAGACCACAAAAGUAAAUACAAUUUACAUUUUCCCUCCAAA